GCAAGUCGAACGAGGUCCAUGAGAGCUUGCUCUCGGACGACCUAGUGGCGAACGGGUGAGUAACACGUGAGGAACUUGCCCCAGACUCGGGGAUAACCCAGGGAAACUUGGGCUAAUACCGGAUACCCUCCUUGGACCGCAUGGUCCGCUGAGGAAAGAAUUUCGGUCUGGGAGAGCCUCGCGACCUAUCAGCUAGUUGGUGAGGUAACGGCUCACCAAGGCAACGACGGGUAGCUGGUCUGAGAGGACGAUC
rnacentral:rRNA from 1 species